AUGUUGUGUGCGCUAUCCAGGCGCGGUGGGCAACGCAGUGGCUGCAGCCGCCACCAUCUUCUGUGCGCUGACAGCCGUCGAGCAGAGUAUGCAUCCUCCCACUCCCUGCGCUCAUGCUUAGCUGGUCUUCUGACCAUCCCCACUUUACCCCUCAGCACCAUGGGUGCUAGGGCUUUUAGCUGCAAUGCUCCCAGGUUAUGGAACUCGCUGCCUCCAGCCCUCCACACAUUUGACAGUCUGACACCAUCACAAUGUUCAAAACUCACCUGCUCAAACUGGCCUACUCACUCUACCCACCCUCUAUGUCCGAUUACCUCUAGCCCCAUACACUAUGUUUCCUGAUUUGUGAUUGUCUGUGGUGGUGUCGUUUCAUGUUUCACUGUUUUUAAGAAUAUUUUGGGGGCUUUUAUGUCGGGUUUUUAGGUCGGAUUUGAACCCAGGCCGCUGUCAAGGAUUCAGCCUACAUGUGGCGCACACUCUACUGGGUGAGCUAGAGGUUGCCCCAUGUUUCACUGUUUUUACCUGUGCGUUACCUGUAUGGUUACUGUUUUUAAUUCCCUGUAAGGCGACAAAAAUAAAAUGUAUUAUUAUAAUUUAGAGUAUGGCACCUCUCCAAUGGCUCAAAUGGUGCUAAACAUCAAUCUAAAUUUUGGAGGCCAAAUUAAAAGCCAGACUGUAUGUUGCUACCAGACAUCUGUGUAUUUACUUUCCUCAAUUUGUGGCACAUAUGCCUCUAAAGGCUCUAAAAUGUGAGGCUUAACCCAAAAAGUGAUU